rnacentral:rRNA from 1 species
AUUGAACGCUGGCGGCAUGCCUUACACAUGCAAGUCGAACGGUAACAGGUCUUCGAAUGCUGACGAGUGGCGAACGGGUGAGUAAUACAUCGGAACGUGCCCGAGAGUGGGGGAUAACGAGGCGAAAGCUUUGCUAAUACCGCAUACGAUCUCAGGAUGAAAGCAGGGGACCGCAAGGCCUUGCGCUCACGGAGCGGCCGAUGGCCGAUUAGGUAGUUGGUGGGAUAAAAGCUUACCAAGCCGACGAUCUGUAGCUGGUCUGAGAGGACGACCAGCCACACUAGGACUGAGAGACGGCCCAAACUCCGACGGGAGGCAGCAGUGGGGAAUUUUGGACAAUGGGCGCAAGCAUGAUCCAGCCAUGCCGCGUGCAGGAUGAAGGCCUUCGGGUUGUAAACUGCUUUUGUACGGAACGAAAAGACUCCUUCUAAUAAAGGGGGUUCAUGACGGUACCGUAAGAAUAAGCACCGGCUAACUACGUGCCAGCCGCCGCAGUAAAAC